GAUGAAGAACGUAGCGAAUUGCGAUAUGUAAUGUGAAUUGCAGAAUUCAGUGAAUCAUCGAAUCUUUGAACGCACAUUGCACCCCCUGGUACUCCGGAGGGUAUGCCUGUUUGAGUGUCAUUAAUAUAUCAACGACAGACAAGUUUUUCGAUGACUUGCUCUGCUGUUUGGAUGCUGAAGGUCUGCUGGCAAAGGAAUCUCUGUCAGCUCCUUUUAAAUUCAUUAGCAGGAAGCAUGCACAACUAGCUUCAGUUUGAUAAGAUUGAACUGCUGCCUUAGGAUGCAUCCGUCCACGCUUUCCCUGCUGCUAACUGUCCAGUAAAUUGGACUGCCUCACGCUUGAGGCAAAUCAUUUUUUGACAACUUGGCCUCAAAUCAGGUAGGACUACCCGCUGAACUUAAGCAUAUCAAUAAGCGGAGGA
rnacentral:misc_RNA from 1 species